GUCGAGGGGUAUUUAUCUUCGGAUAGAGAGACCGGCGCACGGGUGCGUAACGCGUAUGCAAUCUACCUUUUACAGAGGGAUAACCCAGAGAAAUUUGGAUUAAUACCUCAUAGUAUUAUGAAAUGGCAUCAUUUUAUAAUUAAAGUCACAACGGUAAAAGAUGAGCAUGCGUCCCAUUAGCUAGUUGGUAAGGUAACGGCUUACCAAGGCUACGAUGGGUAGGGGUCCUGAGAGGGAGAUCCCCCACACUGGUACUGAGACACGGACCAGACUCCUACGGGAGGCAGCAGUGAGGAAUAUUGGACAAUGGGCGCAAGCCUGAUCCAGCCAUGCCGCGUGCAGGAUGACGGUCCUAUGGAUUGUAAACUGCUUUUAUACGAGAAGAAACACUCCAACGUGUUGGAGCUUGACGGUAUCGUAAGAAUAAGGAUCGGCUAACUCCGUGCCAGCAGCCGCGGUAAUACGGAGGAUCCAAGCGUUAUCCGGAAUCAUUGGGUUUAAAGGGUCCGUAUGCGGUUUAGUAAGUCAGUGGUGAAAGCCCAUCGCUCAACGGUGGAACGGCCAUUGAUACUGCUGAACUUGAAUUAUUAGGAAGUAACUAGAAUAUGUAGUGUAGCGGUGAAAUGCUU
rnacentral:rRNA from 1 species